GGAGAAUCAGGAUGCUCAAUAGUGUUGAAUCUAUCCGUGGUAUCAAGAAGCGGAUCAUGUUAAAGAAUCCUAGGGUUCAGUAUCUUGCGCUGAUCCUCCUAGAGACAUGUGUGAAGAACUGUGAAAAAGCAUUUUCCGAGGUUGCUGCUGAACGGAUACUCGAUGAGAUGGUCAAAUUGAUUGACGAUCCUCAAACAGUUGUGAAUAAUCGGAACAAGGCUCUUGUCUUGAUUGAAGCAUGGGGAGAAUCAGGAAAUGAACUCCGCUAUCUCCCAGUCUACGAGGAAACCUACAAGAGCUUGAAAUCUAGAGGCAUUCGUUUUCCUGGACGGGAUAAUGAGAGUUUGGUGCCAAUUUUUACCCCACCGCGUUCAGUUCCAGAGGCUGAUAUUGCAACCCAACAGGCUCUUCAUGAUGUUCCUCUUCAAGUUUUCACUGCAGAACAAACAACGGAAGCAUUUGACACGGCUCGUAACAGUAUGGAACUUUUGUCAACUGUUUUGUCUUCUUCCCCGCAGCAAGAUGUUCUCAAGGAUGAUUUGACGAUGACCCUGGUGCAACAGUGCCAGCAAUGCCAGUUCACCAUCCAAAGAAUUAUCGAGACAGCCGGUGACAGCGAGGCCGUACUCUUCGAGGCCUUG
rnacentral:misc_RNA from 1 species